GCCGCCAUCGUCUAACGGUUCUGGACAUCACCUUCUCAAGGUGAAGAUUAGGGGUUCGAAUCCCCUUGGCGGCA
rnacentral:tRNA from 2 species